CUUGGCGUUCGUAUCGCGCGCUCGCGUCACCAUGGAUUGUGCUCUGUGUGACAUGUGCUUCUGAAAUUUGGUGUUUUUGUGCCGGACCUGUCGUGUGAUAAAGCAUGAUGCCUCUCGCACCGACCCCUGUGGUGGCGGUGCCAUCGAAGCCGAAGAUCGGAUUCAGUAUAGACAGUAUAGUGGGUGGUUCGGAGCGGCCGAAGCAGGCGUCGCCGCCGCUGGCUAGCCCGGGGUCGCCGUCGCCGGUGGCGUCUCCGCGGAGUCCGUCGCCGCGGCCGCUGCUGAGGCCGAGCGCGCUGCCAGCAGUGUUCCCCUCACCUGAAUUGAAGAGGCUUCCAUACUUGGAUGCGCAGAGCCACCACCACCAGUUCUUGGCUCACUUCCAAGGGGCUGCGCUGGCGGCGGCGCUGGCACACCAGCAGCAAGGGUUUGGAGCUCCGCUGCCGCCGCACCCACCCCCGCACCCCGCCGCUCCAGUGCCUCGAGACUCCUAUCAGCUGUACCCCUGGCUCAUCAACAGGCACGGACGGAUAUUCCCUCAUAGAUUUCCUGGAGGUCCAGACAUCCCCGGUUUCCUCCUACAGCCCUUCAGGAAGCCCAAGAGGAUCAGAACAGCAUUCUCCCCCUCACAACUUUUAAAACUCGAACACGCGUUCGAGAAGAACCACUACGUGGUGGGCGCAGAACGCAAGCAGCUCGCCCAAGCCCUCAGUUUGACAGAAACGCAGGUGAAAGUUUGGUUCCAAAACAGAAGAACGAAACACAAACGGAUGCAGCAAGAAGAAGAAGCGAAAACCGGAUCAAAAUCCGGUUCUUCUAGUUCCAAACCGGAUGACAACCAAUUCAACAACUCUUACGAAGAGGACGAAGAACUAAUAGAUAUGGACAUGGAUGACUUAAGUGAAAGUGAAAAUGAGACGUAGGAAUUCAGUGAAAUGACACUUUGUAAAUAUUAGAUUUAAUUUUUACCCCUAAGUUCUAAGUAAGUAUUUAUUUAUGGCCGAAGGUUCUUACAUAAUAUGGGAAAUUGUUUUAACCGGCUCGGAUGAGGAAACACGUCGAUGUUAUACACAGGCACAUUUAAAUGCAUAUUUUGUAUUUUUUUUUUAAUAUUAUUGAUUAAUAAGGAAAGUCCACACCACAUUCCCGAGAAAUGCAAUUUUCGGAGGUAUGUGACCUAACCUAUAUUGGGCUGGUUUUCGCAUCGCGGGUUGGAAAGUCAGACAGGCAGUCGCUUCUGAAAAAACCGGACCUGUCAAAUCUUCAGGUUAGGUAAGUGGACCCUGUGGAAAACGGGAUAUUGCUAAUGCUGAUGAUUUAGAAAAAAACUAGCUAUUUCUAUUGACGUUAAGUUUUGGUAAUAAAUACUACAUACGAAUUUGGAUACGUAAUUAAUAACUCGGUAACGUUUUGUCGUUUAAGAAUAAAUCUGAAUUAAUUUUGGCUGAUGGCUUUGCUGCUCCAUAACCUGGUCAUUUGAAAAAAUAAAAUUCAAAAAUAACUUUAUUCAGUAGGUAACAUAGAGUUACAAUUUGAAUCGUCAUUUUUUACAUAACGAACGUCUCAUCCGCCUAAAACUACUGCAGCUUCUCACAACCUGUAUAGCCGGGGAAAAGACUGAAAGAAAAACCUCGCCACAGAGCCCUUAGUUCUUUAAAAAAAAAAACGAAAAAUAUUGUUAUACAAUUUAGUAAUUCAUUUAGCUGGGUAAUAAUUCUUUCUAUCACUUUUAACAAUUAUUCGUCUUGUUUUUUUGGAUAAUAAUAGCAACAAAUAUUCGAAUACGUUAUUCUUACAUUGGUAAUAAUGUAAACAUAACACAAGCUCACGACUAUAUCCUAAUUGGGGUAGUCAGAGGUACAUCCAUCGCAAGAUGAACUAAGUACCCACACCUCACCGAGCUUUCUGUUAGACCAACGUGAUAGGUGGUGAGCCGUAUCGCCGUCUAUAAUGGUCGAGUCAACUGUGUUAGUGAAAAUUGCACUUAAUAUAAAUUAAUAACUCAGUGUAAAAUUUAUACCUUUGCAAAUUAAUUCAUAAAUGUGUUUGUGUAUUGAUACAAACGUACUAAGUAUUUAUCAUUUGAAGUACCAUUUAUUGUCUAUUGUGAAGUUAUUCAGGCAAGGCAAGUUAUGCAGGCGAAU
rnacentral:misc_RNA from 1 species